rnacentral:rRNA from 1 species
UGCGUAGGCGGUUAUGCAAGUCAGAUGUGAAAUACCGAGGCUCAACUUCGGAACUGCAUUUGAAACUGUGUGACUAGAGUACAGGAGAGGUAAGUGGAAUUCCUAGUGUAGCGGUGAAAUGCGUAGAUAUUAGGAAGAACACCAGUGGCGAAGGCGACUUACUGGACUGAAACUGACGCUGAGGCACGAAAGCGUGGGGAGCAAACA